AACGCUAGCUACAGGCUUAACACAUGCAAGUCGAGGGGAAACGAUAUUGGAAGCUUGCUUCCGAUAGGCGUCGACCGGCGCACGGGUGAGUAACGCGUAUCCAACCUGCCCAUCACUUGGGGAUAACCUUGCGAAAGUAAGACUAAUACCCAAUGAUAUCUCUAGAAGACAUCAGAAAGGGAUUAAAGAUUUAUCGGUGAUGGAUGGGGAUGCGUUCCAUUAGGUUGUUGGCGGGGUAACGGCCCACCAAGCCUUCGAUGGAUAGGGGUUCUGAGAGGAAGGUCCCCCACAUUGGAACUGAGACACGGUCCAAACUCCUACGGGAGGCAGCAGCGAGGAAUAUUGGUCAAUGGACGAGAGUCUGAACCAGCCAAGUAGCGUGAAGGAUGACUGCCCUAUGGGUUGUAAACUUCUUUUAUACGGGAAUAAAGUGAGGCACGUGUGCCUUUUUGUAUGUACCGUAUGAAUAAGGAUCGGCUAACUCCGUGCCAGCAGCCGCGGUAAUACGGAAGGUCCGGGCGUUAUCCGGAUUUAUUGGGUUUAAAGGGAGCGUAGGCCGGAGAUUAAGCGUGUUGUGAAAUGUAGACGCUCAACGUCUGCACUGCAGCGCGAACUGGUUUCCUUGAGUACGCACAAAGUGGGCGGAAUUCGUGGUGUAGCGGUGAAAUGCUUAGAUAUCACGAAGAACUCCGAUUG
rnacentral:rRNA from 1 species